AUGGAGGCGGCGGCGGCGGACUGGCGGAAUGAACAGAACUGGAAUACUUUUUACGGUGAUAAAGUUAGCAGAAGAAAUAGUAGAGGUUUCACCAGGAAGGAGACUGCAAAAAAAGAGAUGAACUUUGACCUCUUCAGAGGCUGGGUGAAAACCUCACAACAGACUGCUACUAGACUGAGGACAGGACAAGGAAACUAUAGCUCUGAUAACUGUAAAUGCUUCUUUUGUUUCCCUGUCUCUUUAUAUGGUUAUCUUCUAGCUGCCUUCUAUAUGAGGGGGUCAGCAAACUACAGGCCAUGGGCCAAAUCCAGUCUGCCUUAUAGUUUUGUAAAUAAAGUUUUACUGGAGCUCAGUUAUCCGUAUUUGCUUACCUGUUAUUUAUGACUGUUUUCAUACUUCAAUGGCAGGGUUGAGUAGGAAUGACAGAGACCACAAAAAAGCCCUGUACAGAAAAAGCUUCCAAUCCCUGCUUUAUACCAUAACCAGAAUGCCCUAAUACUCCAAUCUAAUUGUGUGACUCCCAGCUCACAAUUCUCCAAUGAACCCCUACAGUAAACAUUGCUGUCUCCCUAUCCGAUUCCCUACUCUGUGUUGCUGGAGAAACACACGUCUAUUUGGAUAUUUAUCAGGCCAAUAGCCCUCCCAACUCCAAAGAAGAAAUGAUUAUUCUAAGCUUAUCACAGUAAUUACAUUUGCUUUCCCAGUGCCUGGCUUAGGAAUGAGCAUGUAGUAGCCAAUAAAAUGUUACAGGAAGUCCA
rnacentral:lncRNA from 13 species